UAGAGUUUGAUCAUGGCUCAGGAUGAACGCUAGCGGCAGGCUUAACACAUGCAAGUCGAGGGGCAUCGGGAGGGAAGCUUGCUUUCCUUGCCGGCGACCGGCGCACGGGUGAGUAACACGUAUGCAACCUGCCCUCUUCAGGGGGACAACCUUCCGAAAGGGAGGCUAAUCCCGCGUAUAUCGGUUUCGGGCAUCCGAGAUCGAGGAAAGAUUCAUCGGAAGAGGAUGGGCAUGCGGCGCAUUGGCUUGACGGCGGGGUAACGGCCCACCGUGGCGACGAUGCGUAGGGGUUCUGAGAGGAAGGUCCCCCACACUGGUACUGAGACACGGACCAGACUCCUACGGGAGGCAGCAGUGAGGAAUAUUGGUCAAUGGGAGAGAUCCUGAACCAGCCAAGCCGCGUGAGGGAAGACGGCCCUAUGGGUUGUAAACCUCUUUUGUCGGAGAACAAAACCCGGGACGUGUCCCGGACUGCGUGUAUCCGAAGAAAAAGCAUCGGCUAACUCCGUGCCAGCAGCCGCGGUAAUACGGAGGAUGCGAGCGUUAUCCGGAUUUAUUGGGUUUAAAGGGUGCGUAGGCGGUCCGUUAAGUCAGUGGUAAAAUUGCGGGGCUCAACCCCGUCGAGCCGUUGAAACUGGCAGACUUGAGUUGGCGAGAAGUACGCGGAAUGCGCGGUGUAGCGGUGAAAUGCAUAGAUAUCGCGCAGAACUCCGAUUGCGAAGGCAGCGUACCGGCGCCAGACUGACGCUGAGGCACGAAAGCGUGGGGAUCGAACAGGAUUAGAUACCCUGGUAG
rnacentral:rRNA from 1 species